AUUGAACGCUGGCGGCAUGCUUUACACAUGCAAGUCGAACGGUAACAGGCCUUCGGGUGCUGACGAGUGGCGAACGGGUGAGUAAUGCAUCGGAACGUACCCAGAGGUGGGGGAUAACGCAGCGAAAGCUGUGCUAAUACCGCAUGUGAUCUGAGGAUGAAAGCGGGGGACCGAGCAGCAAUGUUUGGCCUCGCGCCUUUGGAGCGGCCGAUGUCGGAUUAGCUAGUUGGGGGGGUAAAGGCCUACCAAGGCGACGAUCCGUAGCUGGUCUGAGAGGACGACCAGCCACACUGGGACUGAGACACGGCCCAGACUCCUACGGGAGGCAGCAGUGGGGAAUUUUGGACAAUGGGCGCAAGCCUGAUCCAGCAAUGCCGCGUGCGGGAAGAAGGCCUUCGGGUUGUAAACCGCUUUUGGCAGGAACGAAACGGUGUCCGCUAAUACCGGGCGCUAAUGACGGUACCUGCAGAAUAAGCACCGGCUAACUACGUG
rnacentral:rRNA from 1 species